rnacentral:rRNA from 1 species
UACGGAGGAUCCAAGCGUUAUCCGGAAUCAUUGGGUUUAAAGGGUCCGUAGGCGGCCCUGUAAGUCAGUGGUGAAAUCUCCCCGCUCAACGGGGAAACUGCCAUUGAUACUGCAGGGCUUGAAUUAUUGGGAAGUAACUAGAAUAUGUAGUGUAGCGGUGAAAUGCUUAGAGAUUACAUGGAAUACCGAUUGCGAAGGCAGGUUACUACCAAUGGAUUGACGCUGAUGGACGAAAGCAUGGGGAGCGAACAGG